rnacentral:rRNA from 1 species
AACGAACGCUGGCGGCAUGCCUAACACAUGCAAGUCGAACGAAGGCUUCGGCCUUAGUGGCGCACGGGUGCGUAACGCGUGGGAAUCUGCCCUUUGGUUCGGAAUAACAGCUGGAAACGGCUGCUAAUACCGGAUGAUGACGAAAGUCCAAAGAUUUAUCGCCAGAGGAUGAGCCCGCGUUGGAUUAGGUAGUUGGUGGGGUAAAGGCCUACCAAGCCGACGAUCCAUAGCUGGUCUGAGAGGAUGAUCAGCCACACUGGGGCUGAGACACGGCCCAGACUCCUACGGGAGGCAGCAGUGGGGAAUAUUGGACAAUGGGCGCAAGCCUGAUCCAGCAAUGCCGCGUGAGUGAUGAAGGCCCUAGGGUUGUAAAGCUCUUUUACCCGGGAAGAUAAUGACUGUACCGGGAGAAUAAGCCCCGGCUAACUCCGUG